rnacentral:snRNA from 1 species
GGGUGUGAGGGCCAUCUGGCUGUGACAUCUGUCACCCCAUUGAUCUCCAGGAUCGAUUCGGCUGAUCUGACUGGCCAGGCACGUGUCCCCUUCCUCCCUCUCCACUCCAUGUGCGUCCCUCCCAAAGCUGCAUGCUCAGUUGAAGAGGACGACCAUCCCCGAUAGAGGAGGUCCUGUCUUCAGUGAAGGGUAUAUGGGUAGCUGUGCUUCCCUGCUAGAACCUCCAAACAAGAUCAAGAGAAGCUACAUUCUGAAAGACCUCAUGGAGGUCUACAUUCUGAAAGACCUCAUGGAGAAGUUGUAACCUAUAACUUGGUAUCAUAAACAUUUGAAUGAUCCACUGCAUUGUGGUAGUUUGACCCUGC